AAAUUACAGCAUUUGGUUUUAAUUCUUCUAAUAAGUGCAGUACAAUACCACAAGUUUUCCAGCCAAAUGCGAAAAUUCCACACCUUUAUCACGAGGAAAUCUGCAAUGGCAUUUAGGAAUGACAAAUAGAAGCUCAACUAUUCGAAGCAGGAGACCGAAGAGAAAAAAGGAAGAGAGAUGAUAUUACAGCUGCAGAAAAGGAAAUAAUUAAAACGCAGAAGAAUAUAUUAAUGUACUGUGUGAAAUAUGUGACUUGUAUAAGCAAUCAGUUGCAAAUCAGUCUGCUGUCAUAGAAAAUCAAAAUAUAAUUAUUAAUUUAUUAAAAAAAUAAAUCAUGCAUUUCAAAUAUUA
rnacentral:lncRNA from 1 species